ACGAACGCUGGCGGCGUGCUUAACACAUGCAAGUCGAACGGAAAGGCCCCUUUGGGGGUACUCGAGUGGCGAACGGGUGAGUAACACGUGAGUAACCUGCCCUUGACUUCGGGAUAACUUCAGGAAACUGGGGCUAAUACCGGAUAGGAAUCCUUGCUGCAUGGUGGGGGUUGGAAAGCUUCGGCGGUUUUGGAUGGACUCGCGGCUUAUCAGCUUGUUGGUGGGGUAGUGGCUUACCAAGGCUUUGACGGGUAGCCGGCCUGAGAGGGCGACCGGCCACAUUGGGACUGAGAUACGGCCCAGACUCCUACGGGAGGCAGCAGUGGGGAAGAUUGCACAAUGGGCGGAAGCCUGAUGCAGCAACGCCGCGUGGGGGAUGACGGCCUUCGGGUUGUAAACCGCUUUCAGCAGGGGCGAAGCUUGUGGUGACGGUACCUGCAGAAGAAGCACCGGCUAACUACGUG
rnacentral:rRNA from 1 species